GAGCUCCGACGGGAACAAGGCUCCCCUCGAUCUGAAACAGCGCUAGGGUUUGCCCAGCCGCCACGCUUCGCGCUGCCGCCCAAGGCCCGCUCCGCCCCCACCGCUCCCCACAACGCCGCUGCCGGAGGGCCGGCCGGCGAAGCCGCACCGCGCCCAGGGAUGGCAGCGGCGGGGCGGUUCCAUCUCCCUACCUCCUGCCAGAGCCACCAUAACACCAUACGUAGAUCUGGCCGGGAGCCCCGCCGCCGACGAGGGCCACACCGGCGAUCUCGUGCAACCUACCUGCCUCAUGUUUCCUCUCUGUUCUCCUCCUUCUCUCUCCGACCCUUGUUCAUCCGCGGCCGCCCGAGCUUGCCCCGAUUCAUGACCCUCUCCUUCUGCCAACUCUGGUCCGUCGCUGGUCGUCUGUGGCGCGAGUGUCGCGCCUCCUCCUCAACCUCCUCGAUCCGUGAUGCCCUGACUGCACUGCGCACGUGCGCCUCGCGAGCCAUGGCCGCCUUUUGCCGAGCUGUGGGAUCGACGUCUGACCGCCACCAUGACCGGCCUCUUGCGAAGGUCCCGGUCGCAGUCUCCUGUGCCUUUGGACCUUGGGAGCGACUGGGUGAUUAUAUGCCAGACGCCAAAAAGCAAUAUUGCAACACCAUGCAUGAGGAACAUGAGUCUGCCAGUAUUUAAGCAUUAUACUUGCUAACACUGAGAGCUUAAUUAUCUUUGAUGCAACCAGUCCGUCCAAGCAUCCAAAUGUAUGAUUCAUGUGCCUAGAAUCAGUACUUUUGCAUGUCUGAUGCAUGCAGAAAUAUCCAAAUGUACGACACCUCAUGGACCCGAUGUGAAGGACAAGUAAGCCAUCCACACGAAGUCGGCGGCAGCAAGGGUGUGGGGCAUCGGGAGGAGCAUCUGGAUUGAAGGUUCUUGCCCUCGCCAUUGAGACUACUGUGUUCGUCGCCGAGUACAUCUGGUCAAGAACAAUUGAUUUUAUCGGCAACAGGGGGCGCUUAUCAGUCGCCAUCAAGUGCUUCAACCAGUGCGGCGUCCAGGGAGACAGAGAUGGUAUGCGGAGUAAGAAGAGUGAUUUAAGGGGAGAGAAAUCAUAACAGGGGUUGGUGGAGCAGAAGAGGGCGAAGGAAGACUUGUGGAGAGCUGCGAGGAAUAGAUUUUGGGGUAUGUUACUGUUUUAUGUGUGAUAUCGGUUCAUAAUUUACUGCAGCGAUCAGUUCUCUACUUUCUAUGUACUAGGUUAAUUCUAUUUGCUAGCCUUAAGUGUUUUUUCUAUAGCAACUAAAUAUUGUGAAAGUAACCCUGAAACAUACACACAUCUACUAGAUGCAAAAUUGUUUCUCUGUUGGUACGAACAAUCAUGUAGAUUAAUGCAUGUAGUUUUGUUUUGCACACAACAUACUCUCCAGUAGUGCCGAAACUAGAAUCUCAAUCACUGUCCAUUAUACAAGAUGCAAAAGAGUUCAGAAUAAGAUAUUCAUCAUCAUAUUCACGCAUUUUCCGUUGUAAUAUAUAUUUUGUAUUUGUGUACAGGUUGACACAUUACACAUACAUAAAGUAUGUCUGACUUAUGCAGAAGAAAAGGGACCCUUCAUAUAAAUUAUUUGCAUGCUCAUAGUUAUGAACUUAAAACACUUUGCCUGGCAUUCAUAACCAUUAUACUUCCUCCUGCCCAAAUUUGUUGUCCUGCGUAAUAGUGUUCCACUUUGCGCCUACCACUGGUAGCUGGAAAUUAGAUAUAAUAAUAAUCAGUUUCCUUGCUAGACUUGUUUCCUUAUAGGAUAUCCUGCCGAUUUGAUCUAUUUUUGGCUAGAGCACAUGGGAUCAAACCAGAGGUAAUCAAUUUUCUAUGUUCACCUGAUUAGUUAUAAGGAAUUUAUUACCUCUGUUUUAUUUCCAGGAUACCCAAACCAGUGGUAACGUUUUUUAUGGCUUUGAAAUUCUGUACAAGGUAAUUACUCGUGGUUUCAAGGUUGCGCAAAGGAUAGGAGGCAUGGUUAUAGGUCCUCGACAACAUCUGCGCCUCAUAGUUUAUUAGGCAUGGACCCAGACACAAAUUCUGAAGCUUCAAUAAUUUGGGUGGUCUAAUAGUUCCUGUAUAGCUUGAUGUCGUAUCAGGUGUAAUAUUUUGUUGUUGCUUGAUGUUGCAUCAAGACAAGCUAGGGUCAACAAGGAACAAAGGGGUUGACACAUGGAGAAGCGGGAGCAUAAAAUUCAAAAGGUACUGAACAUGUGUAUGGAUUACAGCGGUGAGUGAAUGGUGUGGCACAUUGAGUCAGAGAGGAGUAGUUGCUUGUCUGGUAUGAAAAACAGUUGUUUCUCGAUUAGAUUAAGGCCAAACUUAUCUUCAACAUGUGUGGUCUUUCAUCACCAUUUUAAAAGAGGUUCAAUGCAAAAUCCUCAGACUGCCAAUUUUUACUAUAUUGGAAGUACUUUAUCGAUAC